CCUACGGGAGGCAGCAGUGAGGAAUAUUGGUCAAUGGACGCAAGUCUGAACCAGCCAAGUAGCGUGCAGGAUGGCGGCCCUCCGGGUUGUAAACUGCUUUUAGUUGGGAAUAAACGGGGGCUCGUGAGCCCCGUAUUGUAUGUACCAUCAGAAAAAGGACCGGCUAAUUCCGGGCCAGCAGCCGCGGUAAUACGGAAGGUCCGGGCGGUAUCCGGUUUUAUUGGGUUUAAAGGGAGCGUAGGCCGGCUUUUAAGUCAGCUGUGAAAGUCCGCGGCUCAACCGGGGAAUUGCAGUUGAAACUGGAGGCCUUGAGUGCACAGAGGGAUGCCGGAAUUCAUGGUGUAGCGGUGAAAGGCUUAGAUAUCAUGAAGAACUCCGAUCGCGAAGGCAAGUGUCCGGGGUGCAACUGACGCUGAGGCUCGAAAGUGCGGGUAUCAAACAGGAUUAGAUACCCCUGUAGUC
rnacentral:rRNA from 1 species